GGAAUCUUGCGCAAUGGGCGAAAGCCUGACACAGCAACGCCGCGUGCGGGAAGAAGGCUUUCGGGCUGUAAACCGCUUUCAGUAGGAACGAAACUGACGGUACCUACAGAAGAAGGAGCGGCCAACUAUGUGCCAGCAGCCGCGGUGACACAUAGGCUCCAAGCGUUGUCCGGAUUUAUUGGGCGUAAAGAGCUCGUAGGCGGUUGAGUAAGUCGGGUGUGAAAACUUUGGGCUUACCCAAAGAUGCCACUCGAUACUGCUUUGACUUGAGUUCGGUAGGGGAGUGGGGAAUUCCUUGUGUAGCGGUGAAAUGCGCAGAUAUAAGGAGGAACACCGGUGGCGAAGGCGCCACUCUGGGCCGAUACUGACGCUGAGGAGCGAAAGCGUGGGGAGCAAACAGGAUUAGAUACCCUGGUAGUCCACGCGGUAAACGGUGGUCACUAGGUGUGGGUCUCUUCAAACGAGAUCUGCGCCGUCGCUAACGCAUUAAGUGACCCGCCUGGGGAGUACGGUCGCAAGACUAAAACUCAAAGGAAUUGACGGA
rnacentral:rRNA from 1 species